rnacentral:rRNA from 1 species
CGGUAAUUCCAGCUCCAAUAGCGUAUACUAAAGUUGUUGCAGUUAAAAAGCUCGUAGUUGGAUUUCUGCGGGGACGGAGCGGCCGGACGCAACUUGCGUCUCGAGCUAGCGCUUUCCCCGCAUCCUGCCGCGAACCGUGCUACCAUUAGUUUGGUGGCGCUGGGGAUCGGCUCGAUUACUUUGAGAAAAAUAGAGUGUUCAAAGCAGGCCACACGCCUUGAAUAAGUUAGCAUGGAAUAAUGACUAAGGACUUUGGUUCUUUUCGUUGGUGUUCGGGACUGAAGUAAUGAUUGAUAGGGACAGUUGGGGCGGUCCGUAUUCCAAAGCGAGAGGUGAAAUUCUUAGACCUUCGGAAGACGAACAGCUGCGAAAGCGUUCCGCAAGGAUGUUCCCUUUGAUCAAGAACGAAAGUUGGGGGAUCGAAGACGAUCAGAUACCGUCGUAGUCUCAACUAUAAACUAUACCAGCUAGGAAUCGGCCAACGUUUAAUUAUUCGACUUGGUCGGCACCUUAUGAGAAAUCAAAGCAUCUGGGUUCCGGGGGGAGUAUGGUCGCAAGGCUGAAACUUAAAGGAAUUGACGGAAGGGCACCACCAGGCGUGGAGCCUGUGGCUUAAUUUGACUCAACACGGGAAAACUUACCAGGUCCAGACAUAGGAAGGAUUGACAGAUUGAUAGCUCUUUCUUGAUUCUGUGGGUGGUGGUGCAUGGCCGUUUUUAGUCGGUGAAGUGAUUUGUCUGCUUAAUCGCGUUAACGGACGAGACCCCAGCCUGCUAAAUAGCGCGGCCGAGCUUUGCUCGGUACGAGCUUCUUAGAGGGACCAUGAUGCGCGAUAGCACAAGGAAGUUUGGGGCAACAACAGGUCUGUGAUGCCCUUAGAUGUUCUGGGCCGCACACGGGCUACACUGGCGCCUGCAACGAGCAUAUCAGCUGGCCUGAGAGGGUCUUGGCUAAUCUUUGGAACCGGCGCCGUGCUUGGGAUUGACCAUUGCAAUUGUUGGUCAUGCAACGAGGAAUGCCUUGUAAACGCGAGUCAUCAGCUCGCAUUGAAUACGUCCCUGCCCUUUGUACACACCGCCCGUCGCUCCUACCGAUGAAUGUUCCGAUGAAAUUUUCGGAGAGCGCCGGAGAACGGGGCUCUGCCCUGCAGAACUGGAGGCUCAAAGUCACUUAAAUCUGAACAUUUCGAGGAAGGAGAAGUCGUAACAAGGUAGCCG